rnacentral:tRNA from 1 species
CAAAUUAAAUUUUUAUAAUAUAAUUUAUUUACAAUAAAUUUAUUAGUUGUUUAAUUCAACUUAAUUUGA